rnacentral:rRNA from 1 species
UACGAAGGGGGCUAGCGUUGCUCGGAAUCACUGGGCGUAAAGGGUGCGUAGGCGGGUUUUUAAGUCAGUGGUGAAAGCCGGUAGCUUAACUAUCGAAUUGCCAUUGAAACUGAUAGUCUCGAGUAUAGUUGAGGUAGUUGGAAUGUAUCAUGUAGCGGUGAAAUGCUUAGAUAUGAUACAGAACACCGAUUGCGAAGGCAGAUUACUAAACUAUAACUGACGCUGAGGCACGAAAGCGUGGGGAUCAAACAGG